GACGAACGCUGGCGGCGGGCUUAACACAUGCAAGUCGAGCGAACUGGCGAACGGGUGAGUAAUACGUGAGUAACCUGCCCUCCUUGAUGGGAUACGCCUUGGAACCGGGGUCUAAUACCGAAUAAUGGGGGUUGGGCUGGCGGCCUAUCAGCUGGUUGGUGGGGUUAUGGCGUACCAAGGCGGUGACGGGUAGCCGGCCUGAGACGGUGACCGGCCACGUUGUGACGGAGUUACGGCCCAGACUCCUACGGGAGUCAGCAGUGGGGGAUAUUGCACAAUGGGCGAAAGCCUUAUGCUGCGGCGCCGCGUGGGGGAUGUAGGCUUUCGGGGUGUUAACCUCUGGCGGUAUCGAACGGUUAGGUGGAGAAGAAGCGCCGGCUAACUACGUGCCAGCAGCCGCGGUAAUUC
rnacentral:rRNA from 1 species